rnacentral:rRNA from 1 species
CCUACGGGAGGCAGCAGUGGGGAAUAUUGGACAAUGGGCGAAAGCCUGAUCCAGCCAUGCCGCGUGUGUGAAGAAGGUCUUCGGAUUGUAAAGCACUUUAAGUUGGGAGGAAGGGCAUUAACCUAAUACGUUAGUGUCUUGACGUUACCGACAGAAUAAGCACCGGCUAACUCUGUGCCAGCAGCCGCGGUAAU